rnacentral:rRNA from 1 species
CAGUCGAACGGAGAAAUGAUUUCGGUUAUUUUCUUAGUGGCGGACGGGUGAGUCACAUGUGAGGAACCUGCCUUUGAGAGUGGGAUAGCUUCUGGAAACGGAUGGUAAUACCGCAUAACAUAGCGAAACCGCAUGAUUUUGCUAUCAAAGUAUUUCGCUCAGAGAUGGCCUCGCGUCUGAUUAGAUAGUUGGUGAGGUAACGGCUCACCAAGUCGACGAUCAGUAGCCGGACUGAGAGGUUGAACGGCCACAUUGGGACUGAGACACGGCCCAGACUCCUACGGGAGGCAGCAGUGGGGGAUAUUGCACAAUGGGGGAAACCCUGAUGCAGCGAUGCCGCGUGGAGGAAGAAGGUUUUCGGAUUGUAAACUCCUGUCGUAAGGGAAGAGGAAGGACUGUACCUUACAAGAAAGCUCCGGCUAACUACGUGCCAGCAGCCGCGGUAAUACGUAGGGAGCGAGCGUUGUCCGGAAUGACUGGGUGUAAAGGGAGCGUAGGCGGGAUGGCAAGUCAGAUGUGAAACCUGAGGGCUCAACCUUCAGACUGCAUUUGAAACUGCUGUUCUUGAGUGAAGUAGAGGUAAGCGGAAUUCCUGGUGUAGCGGUGAAAUGCGUAGAGAUCAGGAGGAACAUCGGUGGCGAAGGCGGCUUACUGGGCUUUUACUGACGCUGAGGCUCGAAAGCGUGGGGAGCAAACAGGAUUAGAUACCCUGGUAGUCACGCUGUAAACGAUGAUUACUAGGUGUGGGGGGAUUGACCCCUUCCGUGCCGCAGUUAACACAAUAAGUA